GGAUAAUAUAAAAGAUCGGGUUUCUUUAAUUGUUGGAAAUAUUUUGUGGUUCUUUCCAGUUUGAUGUUGAUUAAGUUUAUGUAUGUAGAAAUAUACGCGGUGGGUGAUUUUUAAUUCUGUAUUUUGAUAACUUGAAUUACUUAAAUUUUGAAUUUUAGGGUUUCUGAAAUGUUGUGUAAGUUGCCUUAAAUCUUUGGUUCUGAUAUUGAUUAGACUCAUGAAUUUGUGAUGUAACUAAUGUAUUGCCAAAGUUUGCUGGUUUUAUGAGAAAAUGGUAGUGUGGGUUCUAUUAGGAUUGCAUUUUCUAGGUCACCUGGUCUGUGUAUUUCGACCUCAUUCUUUCAGAAUAGAUAGCAUUGAUGUCUUUUGGGGUCAUGGGUUGUGCACCUUGACCAAUUAUGUCUGUUCGUAGGUGGGAAACUAGGUUUAACAAGGCAUUUACGAUUGAAACUAGAAAUGAAUAGGCAAUUUCUCAAGGAUUUAGAAAUGUGUACGUUAUGCCUGAUAUUGAAAUCUGCUACUGUAGAAUGAAAAUUCUGCUAAUAUUGGUAUGUUCAAGUUGACUUAUUUGUUUACUUGAUGAAUUUUACAUUGUCAUCAGUACCUGUUUCGUUGGAGCAGGCAGAAUCCGCGACAAAAUGUUUUGUUCAAGAAACUACUACUGUCUGUGAGGCUCAAUUGCUUCUUUGUCUUUUUUGUAUAUGCUAUGUUGGUAGUUUAGUUGUUUAUUGCUUAUAUCCGACUAGGCAGUGGAAUCUUGCCCAGUUGGUAAAAGAGAACUUUUGCUUAACUACUGAGGUAAAUAUUAAAAUUUAGCCGGCUAGGAAAUUAGUUGUCUUGCGAUUAUCUUGAUAUGGUUUGUUUGGUAGGAUGGUGAGCAAGGACAUUUACCAGUGUUGAUUUUGAGCUUGAAAGAAAGUGAGCAGAAGGCCAGCGAUUGUAUUUUUGCAUAACACAAACAAAUGCAAGAAGUGGUUACGACUGUUACUAGAAAUAAAGGAUUCUCAACUUUUGUUGCUCAUGGCUCUCAUAUAUGUUUAUUACCUAAGGAGUAUUAAAUACAUUAUGUUUUGUUUUAUCAGGCAUAUGCUUCACGAGGAAAUAUAUCUCUUACUAUUUAUUUCCAAUGCCAUGGUGAUCAAAGCUAAAAAAUUUGAUUGACAUGCAGAGAUGUAUUGUUUCUAUCACCUUAUAUAUUCUUCUUUUGUCAGUUCUAAACGAAAAUGACUUUUGUGCGCAAUCAUGAUUCUUCUUUUUUCUUGUUACUCCAACGACCCUAUUCUCAAAGUAAUAACUUUGGUUAUCUUUUCCUGUUUCGUGGUUCAAAUGCAGGCUCUUGUACAAGGGAAAAGGGUGAUACAGGGUGCUUCAUAUUUGAUACGGUUAUUCCAGUUUUGUGUUAGUUUCACAUUUGUUCCAGAGCUGGGGGUUCAAAUCAAGCUUGCGUUACCUUCUUCUCUGCCAAGUACAGGAAUGUUAUGGCAGGUUUGGUUUCAGGUAAAAUCGGGCAGAGAUUUUCACAAAGAGAAGAUACUGAUACCAGCAGGAUAGGAAUUACUGGUGAAUCACUUUGAGUGGUUGAAAGAGGCAGAGGAAGAAGAUUGUAGAUUUUCUGGUAGCAGAUUGAGUGCACACGCAACAGCUGACAUAACAUUUCCACCACACCGUUGGAUCGUUUGGCAUUCAUCUCAAACUUCGCCCUGUUCCUCCUUCAGGUUGACCAUCAUCAAAUUUGGUUUUAUCUCCUGAAGGAAAAUGGUAGAUGCUCCCACCUUUUCCCAUGCCAGCACCACCAUAGCCUCUGUCAGAACAAAGUAAGUAUCUGUGAGGGUAAAUUGAGCCACAGUAAGGACCAACACGUCUUCCUAGAAUUCUCAUUCUACCACCGGUUGAUUUGACAUCAAGUCGAAGUGGUGUCGCAUCUUCAACUGUCAAGGUUUCACCAAGUUUAUGUACAUUUAUAGCCAGAGCUUUGGGGAAAUCUCGGGAAUCAAAAAAUUCGAUGAGAGCAAUCCCCUGGGGAACACUAGUGCAAAGAAGCGUUGGAAUGUGCAUCCACAAGAUCUUUGCGCAAGUUGAGAAAAUCUCUUCAAGGGAGCUCCGGACCUGGUUUAUUCCUAAAGAAGUAUCAAAACCUCGGAUAAAUAUGGUUUCACGAGCAAAGCCGAUUUCAACAGGACGGCCAACAAGUAUUUGCCAUUCAACUCAACUGCCUUCUUUGCAGCUUCUUCAGUUGCAAACUCAGCAUGGCAAUUUCCCCUGAAUUCUCCAUUUUGACGUAAAGAGAAACGCACAUCAAGAACUUCCCCAGCAUGUUUAAAGAACUCAAUCACAUCAGAUUUAGUAGUGGAAGAUGAUAAGUUCUUGGCAACAAGUGUUUGGAUGCUCCAGUGCUUUCCAACAGAGGGCCAACUACAAUUUCCCGGUUACCCAAGUAUUGGCCAUCCAACUCUAAUGCCUUGUUUGCAGCUUCUUUAGUUGCAAACUCAAUUCAGCAGGUACCUCGAUCCUUGAAGCAUGCAUCAACAACUUCCCCAGUCUGUUUAAAGAACUCAAAUCACGUCAGAUUUUUUUCAUGAAAAAGGAUAUGCUCCUAGCAACAACUGUUUUAGAUUCUCCAGUGCUUUGCACUUGAGGUGCAGGAUAGGUCAUUAGCUCAUCCCUGGACUCUUUUGUUUUUGGCUGAAGCACCUCCCUGUGUUUGGUUUCUUGCUACAUGGUACUAUCCAAUUCCUGUUGUCAGAAUCCUUAGGAGACGAAUCGUUUCCAUUGUUAAACUAUUGGAUCUUCUUGUUCUUUUUAGCAUCUGCUGCUACCUUCUUUUUCUUCUUUA